AGAUGAUUUAGUACUAUAGGUACUCUCACUAGAAGUGGCCGUUAGAUAUUCAUCUGUCCACAGUUAGACAAACUGUCUAUAAAUGGAGAUGAUUUAGUACUAUAGGUACUCUCACUAGAAGUGGCCGUUAGAUAUUCAUCUGUCCACAGUUAGACAAACUGUCUAUAAAUGGAGAUGAUUUAGUACUAUAGGUACUCUCACUAGAAGUGGCCGUUAGAUAUUCAUCUGUCCACAGUUAGACAAACUGUCUAUAAAUGGAGAUGAUUUAGUACUAUAGAUACUCUCACUAGAAGUGGCCGUUAGAUAUUCAUCUGUCCACAGUUAGACAAACUGUCUAUA